rnacentral:rRNA from 1 species
AAGGAAUAUUGCUCAAUGGGAGAAAUCCUGAAGCAGCAACGCCGCGUGGAGGAUGAAGGGUCUAUGACUUGUAAACUCCUGUAAAGAAGGAAAAAAUUCCCAUUUGAUGGGAGAUGAUGGUACUUCUGGAGUAAGCCCCGGCUAACUACGUGCCAGCAGCCGCGGUAAUACGUAGGGGGCAAGCGUUGUCCGGAUUUACUGGGUGUAAAGGGUGCUCAGGCGGAUUUGUAAGUCAGAGGUGAAAUCUUACAGCUUAACUGUGAAACUGCCUUUGAUACUGCAAGCCUAGAGUAUGGAAGAGNGUGAUGGAAUAUCUGGUGUAGCAGUGAAAUGCGUAGAUAUCAGAUAGAACACCAAUGGCGAAGGCAGUCACUUGGUCCAUUACUGACGCUAAAGCACGAAAGCGUGGGUAGCAAACA